GACGAACGCUGGCGGCGUGCUUAACACAUGCAAGUCGAGCGGAGCGGCGAACGGGUGAGUAACGCGUGAGUAACUGCCCCCCUCUCUGGGAUAACAGUUGGAACCGGCUGCUAAUACCGGAUAGUGGGGGAUGCCUCGCGUCCUAUCAGCUUGUUGGUGGGGUAGUGGCCUACCAAGGCGACGACGGGUAGCCGGCCUGAGAGGGCGACAGGCCAAAUGGGGCUGAGAUACGGACAAAACUCCUACGGGAGGCAGGAGUGGGGAAUAGUGCGCAAGGGGGGAAACCCUGAUGCAGCAACGCCGCGUGCGGGAUGAGGGCCUUCGGGUUGUAAAACGCUUUCAGCGAUGACGCGGUAGUGGCAGAAGAAGCACCGGCUAACUACGUGCCAGCAGCCGCGGUAAUUC
rnacentral:rRNA from 1 species